GGGCGCGUAGCUUAGUUGGCCUAAAGCACUGGACUGUGAACCCAGGAUCACGGGUCCGAAUCCCGUCGCGCCCC
rnacentral:tRNA from 1 species